AUGAGCCAAACCUGUGAAGAAAAUCAGCAUCAGUGCUUACAUAACCUAACAUAUGCCCAGGGAUGUAAAUGCUGGUUGAAAUACUAUGAGUGCGUGUUUCCCUUUGGUGUGAAGGCCAAGAAGAUUGCUGAUCACAGCUGGUCACUGGUCCAGAUGUUUGCCUGACUGUGGCUGCCUGCCCCUGCUAACCAAACACCUGCGUAUACGGAUGCAUACCUCGUGCCUGAAUCCUGAGGAAUAGAAAUGCCUGCCUAGAAAGCCUGGACAGCCCCUAAAGUGUAUCUAAUGUCGGCUUCGUAGACCAAUCUUGAUGUGUGGGCCUCUUUCCUGAGCAAUUAACUGCUUGGUGAGGAUCUCACAGGCUUGUUGGAAGUGCCUUUUGACCUUGCUUUCAUUCAUCUGGCCACUAAUAGCUUGUUCAGGGAUCCAGAGGGUUUAACCCAACCAGCAGACAUCGCAGCUGGCCAGGUUGCUGUCCUGUUGCUCACAGCUCAGAUUCCUGGCUUCAUGCAGUAAUUCAUAAAUAAAUCUCCCUUCUUCCCCAUGCUACUGGAGCCAGCUCUGGGUGUGUGCUGAUUACGCCGUGGUUGACAUCAGUAUCUUAACUCUCUUAAUUGCAGCCUGCUUAAAAAAAGCAAAUGUAUCUUUUCUUUGUUGUGUCAAGAACAAGAUUAACUCCUGUUGCUGUGCGAGAAACAUGACAGGCCCCUGCAAGAUUGGAGCAGCUGCCUUAUUUUCUUUUUGUUGGGCUGUGUUUCUCAAGAUACAACAGCAGUGCCAAUGAUGCAACGUCUCUCUUGGGAGAGGGUUGGAUGAAGCAUGCUGGUGGAGCUCCAGCAGAAAGCCUCACCCACAGAGGGUGGGGAGCAGCAGCUGAUCUAGACCGAAGAAUGACUUAACCUUGCCUUAAAAUGAAGCAGCUUUUCCUUUUUUUUUUUUACUUUCCUGUUGGAAAAUUGUGUUGGUUUUUUUUUAUUAUUCCAUGAAACCCAACUUUUUUUUCCUGCAGUGCUUUUUUCUACCCAAAAGUUGCCUGUUGGAAAGUUCUCCACCAGCUCUAUUGGUGGGCCAGGGAGUUUUUCAGGGCUAGCCUGAUGUUUCCAUUAGGUGAUAUGAGGCAAUUUUCUUUCUGUUUUCUUUUCGCCUAUUUUUAAAGACAGCCAAGCAAAACAAUUUGCUGGUGAGAACUUUAGUACCUGAUUUGUCUCUAUAAAACUUGCUACAAUGUGAGAGGGCUUUUCCAGAACUAUCUGCAACUUACUUUUGAAAGUGCCUUUUCUCUAAUGCUACAAGCAGGAGUUAAUAAAAUGGCUCAGGAGUCUGGUUCAUUUUGGAUGCCUAAUUGGGUUUCGAUUUGUUUCAGCUGAGACUUGUUAAAUUUAUCCCAUGACCCUGUAAAUAUAAUCUGCCUUUUCAUCCCUUAAAUAGUCACCAUCUCCCUUCAAACGUUAUUUUGUUAUCGCCUUUCUGGCUUUCCAGUUUUAAGUAUUGUAAACUCCAAGGAGCUUGGCUCUCUGCUUUCCCCUCUCCCGACUGUGCUGAGGGCUGCAAGGACUUCACUUAUCUGCACCAGUAGACUUGAGAUCAGCUCCAAAUUUAUUUCUUGCUUUUCACUUGAAAGCUGUUUAGGUGAUGAGCAACUUUUUGGCUAUUGAAAGAAUGGAAAGAGGCCUCGAGGAAUCUGCUUUUUCUCUCUGACAAAUGCCAGUAAUAUUACGGUUG
ensembl:lncRNA